rnacentral:rRNA from 1 species
UACGUAGGGAGCGAGCGUUGUCCGAAGUUACUGGGCGUAAAGCGCGCGUAGGCGGGCUGUUAAGUGAGAGGUGAAAGGCUGGGGCUCAACCCCAUGCAGUGCCUCUCAUACUGGCGGUCUUGAAUUCGGCAGGGAGAAGUGGAAUGGCUGGUGUAGCGGUGAAAUGCGUAGAUAUCAGGAGGAACACCAAUGGCGAAGGCAGCUUGCUGGGACGGUACUGACGCUGAGACGCGAAAGCGUGGGGAGCAAACAGG